rnacentral:rRNA from 1 species
AGUGAGGAAUAUUGGACAAUGGGCUAAAGCCUGAUCCAGCAAUGCCGCGUGAGUGAUGAAGGCCUUAGGGUUGUAAAGCUCUUUCAGUAGGGAAGAUAGUGACGGUACCUACAGAAGAAGCACCGGCUAACUCUGUGCCAGCAGCCGCGGUAAUACGGAGGGUGCUAGCGUUGUUCGGAUUUACUGGGCGUAAAGAGCAUGUAGGUGGUUUAGUAAGUUGGAAGUGAAAUGUUAGGGCUUAACCUUAGAAUUGCUUUCAAAACUGCUAGACUAGAGAGCAGUAGGGGACAGUGGAAUUUCUAGUGUAGGAGUGAUAUCCGUAGAUAUUAGGAGGAACACCAGUGGCGAAGGCGACUGUCUGGGCUGUUUCUGACACUGAGAUGCGAAAGCGUGGGGAGCAAA